AUGACAAGAAGAUAUUGGAACAUUAAUUUGAAAGAGAUGAUAGAAGCAGGAGUUCAUUUUGGUCAUGGUAUUAAGAAAUGGAAUCCUAAAAUGACCCCUUACAUUUCGGCAAAGCGUAAAGGUACUCAUAUUAUGAAUCUCUCUAGAAUGGCUUGUUUUUUUAUCAAAAGCUUGUGA
rnacentral:rRNA from 1 species